rnacentral:lncRNA from 1 species
UACAACCAGUGGCAGCAAUGACAACAUGCAGAGAUGAGGAAGAGUUGUCCAGCUGAGGAGAGAGAAGUGCAGGGUAACUGACAGGUGUGCACAACCAAAUUUUCAGGAAUUUGGAAAUGUGUCAUGAGCACACAAAAGACACUGGAUUUAAACAAAUGUGAGUUAUCAUAUGGUGUGGACUAAAACCAUGUGAAACCAAGAGCAAUAGCAUUAAGAUGGAUGAUGAGGAGCAAGGGAAAAUGGAAAUGGCGAGACUGUGGCCAGUGUUAGGCCGACAUUGCAGCAGAUCUACAUUCCGCCGUGAGAACAGACAUGGGGACAAAAGCCC